rnacentral:rRNA from 1 species
UGGGGAAUUUUGCGCAAUGGGGGAAACCCUGACGCAGCAACGCCGCGUGCGGGAUGACGGCCUUCGGGUUGUAAACCGCUUUCAGUAGGGAAGAACAUCGACGGUACCUACAGAAGAAGCCCCGGCUAACUACGUGCCAGCAGCCGCGGUAAUACGUAGGGGGCAAGCGUUAUCCGGAUUCAUUGGGCGUAAAGCGCGCGUAGGCGGUUGCCUAAGCGGGACCUCUAAUCUUAGGGCUCAACCUUAAGCCGGGUCCCGAACUGGGUGACUUGAGUGCGGUAGAGGAAAGUGGAAUUCCCGGUGUAGCGGUGGAAUGCGCAGAUAUCGGGAAGAACACCGAUGGCGAAGGCAGCUUUCUGGGCCGCCACUGACGCUGAGGCGCGAAAGCUAGGGGAGCAAACAGG